rnacentral:ncRNA from 2 species
GGAGGCAGCCGCAACUGGCGCAUAGGUGGUCACCACCGGGGAGCGGCGCUCUGUCACGGUCGCGCGCCUGGGCCGAACCU